AAAGAGAAAACAGUAAAAGUAAUAUUUGUAGGGCAAUCCAACUGAAAUAUCAAAAUGCUGGGUAAAGUUAUUUUAUUUAUUUUUAUUUUUUUGUCGAUCAUGGGGCUUGAACUCUGGGCUGAGGUGCUGAUCCUGAGCUGUUCUGCUCAAAGGCUAGGGCUCUACCACUUUGAGC